rnacentral:rRNA from 1 species
GGGGAAUUGUUCGCAAUGGGCGCAAGCCUGACGACGCAACGCCGCGUGGAGGAUGAAGGUCUUCGGAUUGUAAACUCCUGUCGAGCGGGACGAACCCCUACCGGAUGAACACUCUGGUGCGCUGACGGUACCGCGAGAGGAAGCCCCGGCUCACUCCGUGCCAGCAGCCGCGGUAAUACAGAGGGGGCAAGCGUUGUUCGGAAUUACUGGGCGUAAAGGGCGCGUAGGCGGCCUUCUAAGUCAGACGUGAAAUCCCUCGGCUCAACCGGGGAACUGCGUCUGAGACUGAAAGGCUUGAAUCCGGGAGAGGGAUGUGGAAUUCCAGGUGUAGCGGUGAAAUGCGUAGAUAUCUGGAGGAACACCGGUGGCGAAGGCGGCAUCCUGGACCGGUAUUGACGCUGAUGCGCGAAAGCCAGGGGAGCAAA